GUAGUCGUAGUCGAGUGGUUAAGGCGAUCGACUAGAAAUCCAUUGGGGUCUCCCCGCACAGGUUCGAAUCCUGUUGACUGCG
rfam:Ixodes scapularis strain Wikel colony gcontig_1108379540157, whole genome shotgun sequence.